rnacentral:rRNA from 1 species
CGGACGGGUGAGUAACACGUGGAUAACCUACCUAUAAGACUGGGAUAACUUCGGGAAACCGGAGCUAAUACCGGAUAAUAUAUUGAACCGCAUGGUUCAAUAGUGAAAGACGGUUUUGCUGUCACUUAUAGAUGGAUCCGCGCUGCAUUAGCUAGUUGGUAAGGUAACGGCUUACCAAGGCAACGAUGCGUAGCCGACCUGAGAGGGUGAUCGGCCACACUGGAACUGAGACACGGUCCAGACUCCUACGGGAGGCAGCAGAA